rnacentral:lncRNA from 1 species
UUUAUCUCUUCUUUCAGGAAUUUAUACCUCUGAUAUUUUUCUUAUCAGAUUAUAUUGAGGAAUUUAAGCAAGACAUAUCUUUUUAGGCAGUUGUGUGUGUGUGUGUGUGUGUGUGUGUGUAUUUUUUAACCUUACUUUGCAGUGGUGGGAAUCAAAACCAGCAGUGGCUGGGCAAAUGCUCUACCACUAAGCUGUGUCCCAAUCCAUAGAUUUAUAUUGAUGACAACAGAAUAGUUUUGGUUUAUGGUAUCUUAAAGCUUUAAAGCUGCUGCUUCUUUUUUUUUUUUUUUCUAUUUAAUGGACAAAGGAAGCCAGAUAAAUAAAAAGGUCUUGAUUUUGUCAAUUUGUUUUAUGUCAUUUUUUUCUAAUUGUAUAUGUUUUUUAAUCUCUAUAUGGUAUAUUUUCUGUGCUUUUUAGAUGAUAGUUCUAAUACUAGAAGUUUCCCCCCACCUUACGGUUACCUUUGUGCCCUUAUGGGAUACUUACCUUCUUUUCUUUUUUUAAAAUAGUCUUUUGUUUCCCUUAACGAAUAACAUUAUUUCUCUUUAUUAACUAGUUUUAGGCUAGUUAUUAGCUUGUUUAUUUACCCCUUGGGAUUUAACUCUUUAAUUUUGCUUAAAUUUAUAGUAUUUGGUUUUCAACUUUGAAUCCUGUUACACAUAAGGUACAGUUGUUGAAUUUAUUCUACUUUAUUUUCUACUUCUAUCAGUCAUUUAUUUUGUAUAUAUUAUCUCAUUCUUAGAGUACAUAACAGUUGCAUUCCAUUCUGUCAUCAGUACAUAUAUUUGUUUUCAUCUUAAAUCUACAAUUAAUGUAUUGGUGCUCACUAUCAGUCCUUUUGCUGAAAUUUUUCCUGUUGUUCAGUGGUUUCAGUUUGUCCUCAAGUUGUUUCUUUAAGAAGGUUUCAUAUGGAUAAAUGCUGAGAUUUUGCAGGGUCAGUAGCCUUAUUUAUGAAAGACUGUUUGGCUAACUACAAAAUUACUGACUCACACUUUCUUUCCUUGAGUGUCUUUUGGAAAAUUAUCCACUGUCUUCUGACAUUGAAUGCCCAGUUAGAGAAGAAUGAUGCUGGUGUACUUUUUUUUUCUUAGAAGAGUUCAGCUUUAAGUAAUCCCAGUAACUCAGGAGGCUGAGGCAGGAGGAUCUCAAGUUCAAAGCCAGUCUCGGCAACUUUGCAAGGCCCUAAGCAAUUUCAUGAGACCCUGUCUCAAAAUAAAAAAUAAAAAGGGCUAGGGAUAUAACCCAGUGGUUAAGCUCCCCUGUGUUCAGUUCCUAGUACCAAAGAAAAGGGAUCUGUUUGUUUGUUUUGUUUUGUUUUAUUUUCCCUUUUUAAGACAGUGUCUUGCUGAGUUGCACCCAGGGAUGGUCUUGAACUCAUGAUCUUCCUGCCUUAGUCUCCUAAAGAGUGGAUUUCAGGCACAUGCUGCAGAGCUUGACUUUAGGGAUUUGUUUUUUGUCUGGUUGCUAAAAGUAUUUUUUCCGACUCUUUUAUUAGAUAUUUUUUACUUAGUUGGCCAUGUGGAGUCAAUUUUAUUUAGAAUAUGAGAUUCCCUUUGAAAAUAUAGGUAGGUACAAGUCAUAUCUUUUUUAAAAAAAUAAAUAUCAGCUUAUUUUCACUUUAAAAAUUUCCAUCCAAUG